rfam:Picea glauca, whole genome shotgun sequence.
ACCUAACCUAGAACUUGAAUCUACACCCCCUAACCUUCUAAAUCAUCGAUCCAUAACCCAUAACCCUCCUAAAGACGCAAUGUGAUUUAUUCCCAUUGCUCUACAUGUCAAAGUGAAGAAAUUCAACCAAGUGCAGAUAAACGGCUGGAGUAACUAUGACUCUUUUAAGGUAGUCAUAUGCCUCGUCAUAUAAUUAGUGAUGUGCAUGAAUGGAUCAUUAAUGAGAUUCCCCACUGUCCCUAGCUACUAUAUUCUAUGGAAACCACAUCCAAGGGAAUGGGCUUGGUAUAAUUAUAGGGGAAAGAAGACCCUAUUGAGCUUGACUCUAGUCCUAACCCAUUCAUAGUUUGGGAAAAUUAGGGCAUAGU